rnacentral:misc_RNA from 1 species
GAUGAAGAACGUAGCGAAAUGCGAUAAGUAGUGUGAAUUGCAGAAUUCAGUGAAUCAUCGAAUCUUUGAACGCACAUUGCGCCCUUUGGUAUUCCUUAGGGCAUGCCUGCUCGAGCGUCAUUUAAACCUUCAAGCUAAGCUUGGUGUUGGGUGACUGUCCGCUUCACGGCGGACUCGCCUCAAAAUUAUUGGCGGCCGGUACAUUGGCUUCGAGCGCAGCAGAAACGCGAACUCGGGCCCGUCGUAUUGGCUCCCAGAAGCUAUCUUCACAAUUUUGACCUCGGAUCAGGUAGGGAUACCCGCUGAACUUAAGCAUAUCAAUAAGCGGAGGA